rnacentral:rRNA from 1 species
UACGGAGGGUGCUAGCGUUAAUCGGAUUUAUUGGGCGUAAAGGGCGUGUAGGCGGAAAGGUAAGUUAAUUGUUAAAUCUCGAAGCUCAACUUCGAAAAAGCAGUUAAUACUAUCUAUCUAGAGGGUAGACGGAGAAAAGGGAAUUCCACGUGUAGCGGUGAAAUGCGUAGAUAUGUGGAAGAACACCGGUGGCGAAGGCGCUUUUCUAGUUUAUUCCUGACGCUGAGGCGCGAAAGCAAGGGGAGCAAACAGG